rnacentral:rRNA from 1 species
UCUCUGCUAAAGGUUUACUGAAGUAUAGAGGGUGAAUUCUGCCCAAUGGUUGUAUAGUGAAACUGAGUACUAACGUAUAAAGCGAAACCCAACUGAAUGGCCGCGGUAACUCUGACCGUGAUAAUGUAGCACAAUAAAUAGCCAAUUAAUUGUUGGCGGGUAUGAAUGGAACCACGAGGGUCUUACUGUCUCAAGAGGAAAGCCGAUGAAAUUAUAAUUGUAGUGAAGAUACUACAUAAACAUUGUAAGACGAAAAGACCCUAUCGAGCUUUACUGGAUACCGAUAGCGUUAAUUUAGAAUGAUCGAUACUAAGUAUCCUAAUUCUAAGUUAAUAAUUUUUGUUGGUAGGACAGUUUAGUUGGGGCGACUACCUUUGAAUAAGAAACGAAGGCGAGCUUAUGGUAUUAUUAAAAUCUCAUUAGCCUCACAGUGAGGGGGACACCCCUAGCUGGCACAAGGACUUCCCCGCAUAGUAUAUAGUAUAUACGUAAGGGGGUUCCUAUGUGGGCGAUAGUGACCCGAUAUGAUUAUCCAAAAUAAAUAUCGAAAGCGGAUAAAAGCUACCGUAGGGAUAACAGCGUAAUAUUGUCGGAGAGUUCUUAUCGAGGACAGUGUUUGCGACCUCGAUGUUGAAUUGCGGUGCCCUGGUGCUGUAGAAGGUACCUUAGGUUGGUCUGUUC